rnacentral:lncRNA from 1 species
CUCUGUGAACAAAAGAAAACUAAAUGACCCCAGAGAAGAGUUAAUUGCCGAGUCCAGCUGAUAGUUACAGAAAAGUUCACUCUUUUACUGUAUUUUGAUUUAAUGCAUUUCCCUUAUCUAUAUUAUCAGACACAUCUCCUGAAAUAGCAACGCCACUCAGAAUCAAGCUACAGUUUUGAGUUGACAAGUUCAAGGCAGAGACGGUGGCCUUUCAUCUUCUAUAAACCCGUGUGACCAGCA